UACGGGGGCAGCAGUAGGGAUUCUUCCACAAUGGGCGAAAACCCUGAUGGAGCAACGCCGCGUGAGUGAUGAAGGCCUUUGGGUUGUAAAACUCUGUCUUCUGUGACGAACAAGCCUGUGAGUAAAAUGCUCAGGCCCUGACGGUAACAGAGGAGGAAGCCACGGCUAACUACGUCACCAGCAGCCGCGGUAAUACGUAGGUGGCAAGUCGUUGUCCGGAAUCACUGGGCGUAAAGCGCGCGCAGGCGGCGAUCUAUCGUCUGGGGUGAAAGCCCGGAGCUCAACUCCGGGACUGCCUUGGAUACGGGAUCGCUUGAGAAUUGGAGAGGCAAGGGGAAUUCCACGUGUAGCGGUGAAAUGCGUAGAUAUGUGGAGGAACACCUGUGGCGAAGGCGCCUUGCUGGCCAAUUUCUGACGCUGAGGCGCGAAAGCGUGGGGAGCAAACAGGAUUAGAUACCCUGGUAGUCCACGCCGUAAACGAUGAGUGCUAGGUGUUGGGGGGUACCACCCUCAGUGCCGAAGCUAACGCAUUAAGCACUCCGCUGGGAGUACGUCG
rnacentral:rRNA from 1 species